CUACCUUUGCUCUUCCCUCUCUCUUCUUCUCUGAAAACAUGAAGCAGAUACAGUAUCAUGGAAUCCAAGUCUAAGAAGGUUCAAUCAGUAAUCACUACAACUUUUACUCAAAAGUCUGAAACAGGCAUGAUCAUAUCAAUUAAGCAUCAUAAUUUGGAACCUAUUUAGAGGCAGCACAAUGAAAUUAAGCAACAAUGAGCAAUCUGGUUUUACCUCCGGAAGCAUAUACUUCAUGUCCAUCUCUCCUUGUUUUCUUUCCACUGCCUCUGAUAUCCUCCUCAUCAUCUUCGUCAUCUUCACCUUCAUCAU
rnacentral:lncRNA from 1 species